rnacentral:rRNA from 1 species
UACAGAGGGUGCGAGCGUUAAUCGGAGUAACUGGGCGUAAAGGGCGCGUAGGCGGUUAGAUAAGUUCACUGUGAAAGACCAAGGCUUAACCUUGGGGUGCCAGUGAAUACUAUCUGACUAGAGUAGAACAGAGGUGAGUGGAAUUUCCGGUGUAGCGGUGAAAUGCGUAGAUAUCGGAAGGAACAUCAGUGGCGAAGGCGGCUCACUGGGUUCAUACUGACGCUGAGGCGCGAAAGCAUGGGUAGCAAACAGG